AUUAAUCACGACGACCAGCGAAUGCGAAAUGCGGGCCCGUGUUGAGGCUGGCGCUUAAUCCCGGACGUAAUUCUGGAAAGCAGCCGCAGCCCAGGACUUCCUUAAUCCCUCGCACGAGCAAAGGCGCUCGCUGACCUACCAGGCUGGCUUUUCCGCAGCCGCCCCGAGAGUUCGCCUCGCUGGAGAUGCAGACACACAAGGAAAGCCACAGCCAUUCAGGCUCCUCAUUUGUCGGCAGCCCGACAGUGGUGCCCUUUCUCUGUGGCUGCUUCCCUGCCUCGGGAGCAGCAGUUAUGGUAGAAGCAGAUGGCUACUGGUUGGGGGAGCUUUGUGGCGCUAAUGCUGAAUACUUUAUGGAAAAGGACUUUGUCAUGCUUCGUUGGGCAGAGGAACAAGGGGCUGAGAUUUACGGUCAGGAAAAAUAAAUCUUUUCCCAAGUUGUG